GUGGGCGCCUCAGUGGUUAGAGCCUACGGCUUGUGACCGAAAGGUUCUAAGUUCGAAUCUCGCAACA
rnacentral:tRNA from 1 species